rnacentral:misc_RNA from 1 species
GCCCACGGCAGUGGGAGGCACAGAGA